CUCUUUUAGAUAUAUUCAAAGUAUCGCCUGCUCAAUGCUUUUAGUAAAUAGCCGCAGUAUUUUGACUGUGCUAAGGUAGCAUAAUCAUUAGUCUCUUGAUUAGAGGCUGGUAUGAAUGGUGGGACGAGAAAGCAACUGUCUCUUCAAAAAUUCUUGAAUCUCAUUUCUAAGUGAAAAAGCUUAGAUAAUUUUGAAAGACGAUCAGACCCUAUGGAGCUUUACCUUGAUGUUAAAACUUUAUUAAAAAGAUAGUUUUAAUCCCAAGGUUUCGUUGGGGCGACGAAGAGAUAUAAAUAACACUCUUUUUAUGUAACACACAUAAGUGAAUACUUGAUCCUUAAAGAAAGAUUAAAAGAUUAAGUUACCCUAGGGAUAACAGCGUAAUCUUCUCGGAGAGUUCAUAUCGAUGAGAAGGUUUGCGACCUCGAUGUUGGAUUAAGAAAUUAGCAAGGUGCAGAAGUUUUGCUGGAAAGUCUGUUCGACUUU
rnacentral:rRNA from 1 species